UGGAUAACCGGGUAAUUCUAGAGCUAAUACAUGCUAAAAACCCCGACUUCGGAAGGGGUGUAUUUAUUAGAUACAAAACCAAUGCCCUUCGGGGCUCUUUGGUGAUUCAUGAUAACUAUACGAAUCGCACGGCCUUGCGCCGGCGAUGGUUCAUUCAAAUUUCUUCCCUAUCAACUUUCGAUGUUUGGGUAUUGGCCAAACAUGGUUGCAACGGGUAACGGAGGGUUAGGGCUCGACCCCGGAGAAGGAGCCUGAGAAACGGCUACUACAUCCAAGCGAAGGCAGCAGGCGAUGCAAAUUACCCAAUCCCGACACCGGGGAGGUAGUGACAAUAAAUACUGAUACAGGGCCCUUUCGGGCCUUGUAAUUGGAAUGAGUACAAUUUAAAUCCCUUAACGAGGAACAAUUGGAGGGCAUCAGUCUGGUGCCAGCAGCCGCGAGUAAUUCCAGCUCCAAUAGCGUAUAUUAAAGUUGUUGUGGUUAAAAAGCUCGUAGUUGAACCUUGGGCCUGGCUGGCCGGUCCGCCUCACCGCGUGCACUGGUCCGGCCGGGCCUUUCCCUCUGUGGAACCCCAUACCCUUCACUGGGCGUGGCGGGGAAACAGGACAUUUACUUUGAAAAAAUUAAAAUGCUCCAGGCAGGCCUAUGCUCGAAUACAUUAGCAUGGAAUAAUAAAAUAGGACGCGCGGUUCUAUUUUGUUGGUUUAUAGGACCGCCGUAAUGAUUAAUAGGGACAGUCGGGGGCAUCAGUAUUCAACUGUCAGAGGUGAAAUUCUUGGAUCAGUUGAAGACUAACUACUGCGAAAGCAUUUGCCAAGGAUGUUUUCAUUAAUCAGGAACGAAAGUUAGGGGAUCGAAGACGAUCAGAUACCGUCGUAGUCUUAACCAUAAACUAUGCCGACUAGGGAUCGGACGGUGUUAUUCAUGACCCGUUCGGCACCUUACGAGAAAUCAAAGUGCUUGGGCUCCAGGGGGAGUAUGGUCCCCAAGGCUGAAACUUAAAGAAAUUGACGGAAGGGCACCACCAGGGGUGGAGCCUGCGGCUUAAUUUGACUCAACACGGGGAAACUCACCAGGUCCCAGACACAAUAAGGAUUGCAGAUUGAGAGCUCUUCUUGAUUUUGUGGGUGGGGGUGCAUGGCCGUUCUUAGUUGGUGGGGUGACUUGUCUGCUUAAUUGCGAUAACGAACGAGACCUUAACCUGCUAAAUAGCCCGCAUUGCUCCGGCAGUGCGCUGGCUUCUUAGAGGGACUUUCGG
rnacentral:rRNA from 1 species